rnacentral:rRNA from 1 species
GCAAGUCGAACGAGAACGGGUAUUAGUUUACUAAUACUGUCAGCUAAGUGGCGCACGGGUGAGUAAUAUAUAGUUAAUCUGCCCUAGAGAAAGGGAUAACGUUUGGAAACGAACGCUAACACCUUAUAUGCCUUUAUCACAUAAGUGAGCAAGGGAAACAUUUAUGGCUCUAGGAUGAGACUGUACGGUAUCAGUUAGUUGGUGAGGUAAUGGCUCACCAAGACAAUGACGCCUAACUGGUUUGAGAGGAUGAUC